rnacentral:rRNA from 1 species
CAUAGGUUAAUGAGGCGAACCGGGGGAACUGAAACAUCUAAGUACCCCGAGGAAAAGAAAUCAACCGAGAUUCCCCCAGUAGCGGCGAGCGAACGGGGAGCAGCCCAGAGCCUGAAUCAGUGUGUGUGUUAGUGGAAGCGUCUGGAAAGGCGCGCGAUACAGGGUGACAGCCCCGUACACAAAAAUGCACAUACUGUGAGCUCGAUGAGUAGGGCGGGACACGUGGUAUCCUGUCUGAAUAUGGGGGGACCAUCCUCCAAGGCUAAAUACUCCUGACUGACCGAUAGUGAACCAGUACCGUGAGGGAAAGGCGAAAAGAACCCCGGCGAGGGGAGUGAAAAAGAACCUGAAACCGUGUACGUACAAGCAGUGGGAGCACGCUUAGGCGUGUGACUGCGUACCUUUUGUAUAAUGGGUCAGCGACUUAUAUUCUGUAGCAAGGUUAACCGAAUAGGGGAGCCGAAGGGAAACCGAGUCUUAACUGGGCGUUAAGUUGCAGGGUAUAGACCCGAAACCCGGUGAUCUAGCCAUGGGCAGGUUGAAGGUUGGGUAACACUAACUGGAGGACCGAACCGACUAAUGUUGAAAAAUUAGCGGAUGACUUGUGGCUGGGGGUGAAAGGCCAAUCAAACCGGGAGAUAGCUGGUUCUCCCCGAAAGCUAUUUAGGUAGCGCCUCGUGAAUUCAUCUCCGGGGGUAGAGCACUGUUUCGGCAAGGGGGUCAUCCCGACUUACCAACCCGAUGCAAACUGCGAAUACCGGAGAAUGUUAUCACGGGAGACACACGGCGGGUGCUAACGU